UUGAACGCUGGCGGCAGGCCUAACACAUGCAAGUCGAGCGGAUGAAGGGAGCUUGCUCCUGGAUUCAGCGGCGGACGGGUGAGUAAUGCCUAGGAAUCUGCCUGGUAGUGGGGGAUAACGUCCGGAAACGGGCGCUAAUACCGCAUACGUCCUGAGGGAGAAAGUGGGGGAUCUUCGGACCUCACGCUAUCAGAUGAGCCUAGGUCGGAUUAGCUAGUUGGUGGGGUAAAGGCCUACUAAGGCGACGAUCCGUAACUGGUCUGAGAGGAUGAUCAGUCACACUGGAACUGAGACACGGUCCAGACUCCUACGGGAGGCAGCAGUGGGGAAUAUUGGACAAUGGGCGAAAGCCUGAUCCAGCCAUGCCGCGUGUGUGAAGAAGGUCUUCGGAUUGUAAAGCACUUUAAGUUGGGAGGAAGGGCAGUAAGUUAAUACCUUGCUGUUUUGACGUUACCAACAGAAUAAGCACCGGCUAACUUCGUG
rnacentral:rRNA from 1 species